rnacentral:rRNA from 1 species
UACGGGGGGGGGCAAGCGUUGUUCGGAAUUACUGGGCGUAAAGGGCUCGUAGGCGGCCAACUAAGUCAUACGUGAAAUCCCUCGGCUUAACCGGGGAACUGCGUCUGAUACUGGAUGGCUUGAGAUUGGGAGAGGGAUGCGGAAUUCCAGGUGUAGCGGUGAAAUGCGUAGAUAUCUGGAGGAACACCGGUGGCGAAGGCGACUCACUGGCCCGAUACUGACGCUGAGGCGCGAAAGCGUGGGGAGCGAACAGG